GCUGCCCCGGCGCCCCUCGCCCCCGCCAGCCCGGGUCCUCCGCGCGCCGCUGGACAGAAGGUAGUCAGGAUGAGGAUGUGGACCUUCAUUCUGCCUACCACGGAUGGGAGAAUGUGGCACCUGAAACAGCUGCAUCCACCUUGUGACCAGGCGGGAGUCCACACACUUGGGAUGACAAGUGAUUUCCAUUAUUAAAUAUCCUUAUCAGG